GACGAACGCUGGCGGCGUGCCUAAUACAUGCAAGUCGAACGCAGUGGGGACGGGUGAGUAACACGUGGGUAACCUCCCAUCAGAGGGGAUAACACUUGGAAACAGGUGCUAAACCGCUACUGGUGGAUGGACCCGCGGUGCAUUAGCGAGUGGGUGAGGUAACGGGUCACCAAGGCCACGAUGCAUAGCCGACCUGAGAGGGUGAUAGGCCACACUGGGACUGAGACACGGCCCAGACUCAUACGGGAGGCAGCAGUAGGGAAUCUUCGGAAAUGGACGAAAGUCUGACCGAGCAACGCCGCGUGAGUGAAGAAGGUAUUCGGAUCGUAAAACUCUUUUGUUAGAGAAGCGGUAUCUAACCAGGAAGCCACGGCUAACUACGUGCCAGCAGCCGCGGUAAUAC
rnacentral:rRNA from 1 species